GACGAACGCUGGCGGCGUGCUUAACACAUGCAAGUCGAACGAAGUGGCAAACGGGUGAGUAACGCGUAAUCCACCUGCCCUUCAGAGGGGGACAACAGUUGGAAACGACUGCUAAUACCGCAUACUGAAGGAGGGGAUUGCGUCUGAUUAGCUAGUUGGAGGGGUAACGGCCCACCAGGGCGAUGAGCAGUAUGCGGUCGGGUAGGAUGAAAGGACAGAUUGGGACUGAUACACGGCCCAGACGCCGACGAGAGGUAGCAGUGGGGACUCUGCCGCAAUGGACGAAAGUCUGACAGAGCAACGCCGCGGGAGUCAUGAGGGGCUUCGGGUUUUAAAGCUAUGAUACUCGGGACGCGGUACCGGAAUAGAAAGCCACGGCUAACUACGUGCCAGCAGCCGCGGUAAUAC
rnacentral:rRNA from 1 species